rnacentral:lncRNA from 1 species
CAGGAUGGAUGAAGGAACAGAUGGCCGAAAUCCUUCUACAAAACCGGUACAAGGUCCGCAGCACAGUCGCUGUUCAGGGCAUUUGAUGAAAGGAGGAACGAGUUCGCUGGCAAG